rnacentral:misc_RNA from 1 species
UACAGAGGGUGCGAGCGUUAAUCGGAUUUACUGGGCGUAAAGCGUGCGUAGGCGGCUUUUUAAGUCGGAUGUGAAAUCCCCGAGCUUAACUUGGGAAUUGCAUUCGAUACUGGGAAGCUAGAGGAUGGUAGAGGGAGGUGGAAUUCCGGGUGUAGUGGUGAAAUGCGUAGAUAUCUGGAGGAAUACCGAUGGCGAAGGCAGCCAUCUGGCCUAAUACUGACGCUGAGGUACGAAAGCAUGGGGAGCAAACAGG